rnacentral:rRNA from 1 species
AUUGAACGCUGGCGGCAGGCCUAACACAUGCAAGUCGAACGGUAACAGGAAGAAGCUUGCUUCUUUGCUGACGAGUGGCGGACGGGUGAGUCAUGUCUGGGAAACUGCCUGAUGGAGGGGGAUAACUACUGGAAACGGUAGCUAAUACCGCAUAACGUCGCAAGACCAAAGAGGGGGAGCUUCGGGCCUCUUGCCAUCGGAUGUGCCCAGAUGGGAUUAGCUAGUAGGUGGGGUAACGGCUCACCUAGGCGACGAUCCCUAGCUGGUCUGAGAGGAUGACCAGCCACACUGGAACUGAGACACGGUCCAGACUCCUACGGGAGGCAGCAGUGGGGAAUAUUGCACAAUGGGCGCAAGCCUGAUGCAGCCAUGCCGCGUGUAUGAAGAAGGCCUUCGGGUUGUAAAGUACUUUCAGCGGGGAGGAAGGGAGUAAAGUUAAUACCUUUGCUCAUUGACGUUACCCGCAGAAGAAGCACCGGCUAACUCCGUG